rnacentral:rRNA from 2 species
AACUCUCGGCAACUGAUAUCUCGGCUCUCGCAUCGAUGAAGAACGUAGCGAAAUGCAAUACCUGGUGUGAAUUGCAGAAUCCCGCAAACCAUCAAGUCUUUGAAUGCAAGUUGUGCCCGAGGCCACUCGGCCGAGGGCACGCCUGCAUGGGCAUCA